AAAAUGCCCAGACCAGCUCUGGUCUCUUAUACAAAGCAGAAUCUCUGCCUACAAAGCAGUUUCCCACCUCUGACUCCUCCCCACGGCGAACAGCCCUUCUGGAUCCAACCAACCCACCAACCCCAAUAGGUCCCAGCACCCAGAGGGUCCACAAUCCAGAGAAGGAGCUACAAGCCCUGUACUCUCAAGCCUCGAACCCCCAACUCCAACUGACCUCCCCUCUGCCAGAGCAAGAAGACCACAAGUACCCGCCGAGAGCGGACCUGGCUGGCUACACAAAGCCAGGCACCCGACCAGAGGGACCCUCGGGGAUGUCCUCCGCCCCCGGGGCGUCCCCGCCCAGCCCCGCCCGGCGCCCCGCGCUCACCAGCUCUCCUCCCCCUCCUCCUAGCCUGACGGACGCUCCAGGUCGUCCAGCAAGCCGCCCUCCCCCGCCGCCAGCAAAAAGGUGGCGUCCCGCAGCUCCUCGUUAUUCGUCCCCCUCGGGUCCACCCGGCCCCGCCGCCCGACUUUGCGCUGAGGCCCAAGGGGAAGCCCCAAGGGGACCCCGCGCCGUAGAAGGGAGUGGAGAAGCCGGCGAACCGCCCUGCCGGGCCGAUGGAUCCCGGCCCCAGCACAGAGCGAGCGGCUCCUCAGCUGUUCGUGCUGCUUCCCCAGCUUCUUCACCGACUCCUGCAGCUUCCGCACCUCCUGGUCCGCGUUCACGUUGGAGUUAACGUCCUCCAUCCCGGCCCCGCUGCCUCCGCCGCCCGCGGCCCUCUCGCUCUCGCAGCAACAAGGAAAGAGCCGGAGGAAAGAGGCCUCCACGCCGCUCACUCCAGCCGAGGCCCCCGCAUAUAGCAGGGCCAGGCCCCGUCGCCAGGGUUCCCCCAGCGCGGGUUCCGAAGCGCCGCUGGCCACAGAUGAACCACCUCCUCAGCACCCGUCCGGGAUUCGGGGAGGCAGCGCCAAUAUCCGGUCUCUGCCGCCAUCUUCCCUCCGUCCCUCCGCCCACCGAGGGUCUGCCCUGUAGGUGACCUCAGAGCGUCGGGGGUGGGCGUGGCCCCGGCGGGCGCUAAGAAGACCUGGCGCAGAGAGGACCGCCGAGCUUCCUACAGGGCGGGGCCAGGUGUGUGAGGGGCGGGGAUUGGACCCGAAGGGGCGUGUCUGGACUGCUGGCAGAAGUGGAACGCGGCCUGACCUGCGAUGGAAAGCCCCUGCAGGCCCGGAGGCGAGCAGAAGGCAUGCCGCGAGCCGGGCUGAGGUGGUGAACACGGUCCUCGUUCACCCCGCCUAUUGGUCUGGGCGUGUGGGGUGUUCUCCACCCCCUUAUACGGCGUGUGGGACCCACGGGCCAGUCCCGCCCGGCUCCGGGCCGGAUCUCGAGUGGGCGCUCAAUGGGGUCCGGGGAGAGAUAGUUUACUUUGUUCAGCAAAUAUUUAACCGAUGCCUAUUUUAAUGGGAGAUUGUCUCCGCUGGCGGGAGCCUCAGAGGCCGCCUAUGUCCUGUAAGAAACCCGAAUUUCAGACAGUUAAGAGAGGUCUAAGGUCAAAAUAAUAAUCAUAAUUUCUUCCUACUGGCCAGAUACUAUGCUAAGCCAUUUUUUAUUUUAUUAUUAUUAUUUUUUGUCACCGAGGCUGGAGUGCAAUGGCCCGAUCUUGGCUCACUGCAACCUCCGCCUCCCGGUUUAAAGCGAUUCUCCUGCCUCAGCCUCCUGAGUAACUGGGAUUACAGGCGGGCGCCACCACGCCCCGCUGAUUUUUGUAUUUUACUAGAGACGGGGUUUCGCCAUUUUGGCCAGGCUGGUCUCGACGCUGACCUCAGGGUGAUCCGCUCACCUCAGCCACUUGAAGUGCUGGGAUUACUGGCAUCAGCCACCGCGCGCCCGGCCGUGCUAAUCACUUUGAAAGGCAUUAUCUCAUCGGUUAAAACAUAGUUUUCCUGACGUAAAAGUUUACAGCACACUGGCGCAGAAGAUGGAAAACCGCUGCUUGCCUUUCUCCGUUUAUUGACUCACAUUCUGCUCUUUGGAUCAUUUUCUUCGGGAAAAGUUUUCCGAAGUGUGUCUUGACUUUAAGUUGUGUAUUAAAAGUACUUGAACACGCUGACAGAUACUGAAGAAUGCAGAAAAUUGUAUGAGUGUGAAAAUCUGCCUUUAUGAUGUGUAUUAGUGGCAGCAAAUCCAAACAAAACUUAAGUGCUUUGUUUUGAUGACAUUCAUUGGGCUUCAGAUGUCAAUUGUGCACUGCUUUGGCUUGUGUUUGCAGCCACAAACACAAGUGGAGUUAUUAACGCCACUUACUAAACACAAGUGGAAGUUAUUAAGAGUGGAGUUUCCCUCCUCCAAACAGUGAUCCAGUUCUUUUAUUUAUUUAUUUAUUUAUUUAUUUUUGAGAUGGAGUCUCGCUCUUUGGCCCAGGCUGGAGUGCAGUGGCGCGAUCUCGGCUCACUGCAAGCUCCGCCUCCCGAGUUCAGGCCAUUCUCCUGCCUCAGCCUCCCGCGUAGCUGGGACAACAGGCGCCCGCCACCGCGCCCAGCUAAUUUUUUGUUUUUGGUAGAGACGGUGUUUCACCAUGUUAGCCAGGAUGGUCUCGAUCUCCUGACUUCAUGAUCCGCCCGCCUCGGCCUCUCAAAGUGCUGGGAUUACAGGCGUGAGCCACCGUGCCUGGCCAGUGAUCCAGUUCUAUUACACCUGGGUGUGGACUCAUGCCACGACUGAUUUGCUUCUACCCUUUAGCUUUUCUAGUGCCUUAGUUUCCUUGCCUAGAAUAUCCUGCCUGCCAUAGCUGAUUCCUUUUCUUAAAACCCGUACUCGCUCAUUCAUUCAGGAAACCUCUUCCUGAAAAUUCCACAAAAAUCUAAUUAUUCUUUGUAUUUUAGCAUUACCCGAGCCAUAGUUUUCAAUAGGUGUUUGCACUUUUUAAAAAAAUUUUCAUUAUUUUCUAUUAUUUUGUUUUUGUCUGUUUACUUGAUUUAAAGACACCAUUUUUGUUUACCAUGUCUAGUACACUGACACAGUGGACACUCAAUACUUGGUUUGUUGAAAGUUAAGUAGAAUGUAAGUUCUUACAGGCCAAAGACCAGGUAGAUGUUUAUUCAUAGCAAAAAAACGUAUUGUGUUAAAAGUUUGCUGGCUAACUGUCAGUCGAGUAUUUUCCUAGCUAUACAGACCUAGUCAAAGUGAGAGGUGAUAGCGUGCUGGCAGUCCUCACAGCCCUCGCUCGCUCUUGGCGCCUCCUCUGCCUGGGCUCCCACUUUGGCCGGCUUGAGGAGCCCUUCACCCCGACGCUGCACUGUGGGAGCUCCUUUCUGGGUUGGCCAAGGCCGGAGCCGGCUCCCUCAGCUUGCGGGGAGGUGUGGAGGGGGAGGCACGGGCGGGAACCGGGGCUGCACGCAGUGCUUGCGGGCCAGCGCGAGUUCCGGGUGGGUGUGGGCUCGGCGGGCCAGCACUCAGAGGGCCCUGCCGGCCCGGCCGGCCCCGGGCAAUGAGGGGCUUAGCACCCAGGCCAGCGGCUGCAGAGGGUGUGCUGGGUCCCCCAGUAAUGCCGGCCCACCAGCGCUGCGCUCCAUUUCUGGCGGGCCUUAGGUGCCUCCCCGCGGAGCAGGGCUCGGGACCUGCAGCCCUUCAUGCCUGAGCCUUCCCCUGCCCCCGCUCCUGUGCGGCCCAAGCCUCCCCUACGAGCACCACCCCCUGCUUCACGGCGCCCAGUCCCAUCGACCACCCAAGGGCUGAGGAAUGCGGGCGCACUGCGUGGGACUGGCAGGCAGCUCCACCUGCAGCCCCUGUGCGGGAUCCACUGGGUGAAGCCAGCUGGGCUCCUGAGUCUGGUGGGGACUUGGAGAACCUUUAUGUCUAGCUAACGGAUUGUAAACACACCAAUCGGCACUGUGUAUCUAGCUCAAGGUUUGUAAACACACCAAUCAGCACCCUGUUUCUAGCUCAGGGUUUGUGAAUGCACCAACCCACACUCUGUAUCUAGCCACUCUGGUGGGGACUUGGAGAACCUUUGUGUGGACACUCUGUAUCUAGCUAAUCUAGUGGGGACGUGGAGAACCUUUGUGUCUAGCUCAGCGAUUGUAAACGCACCAAUCAGCUCCCGGUCAAAACAGACCACUUGGCUAUCUGUAAAAUGGACCAAUCAGCAGGAUGUGGGUGGGGCCAGAGAAGAGAAUAAAAGUGGGCUGCCCGAGCUAGCAGUGGCAACGCGUUGGGGUCCCCUUCCACACUGUAGAAGCUUUGUUCUUUUGCUCUUUGCAGUAAAUCUUGCUGCUGCUC
rnacentral:antisense_RNA from 1 species